rnacentral:misc_RNA from 1 species
CUCAUCAACAUGAGGUUGUCCUUCAAGUGGGAAAGCAAAAAUAAGAUAAAUAGCAGAAAAAUCUUCUUAUCGUUUUGUAGUUGAAUGCUUAUACGAUAGGCAGGAAAACUUCAUGAUUAUCUUUCUGUGACAAAAUGGGCCAAACACAGUACAGUUCCAUUAAAAAAAAAAGAAAUAUAAAUAAGAGCCAACUUCUUAGGCAAUGUUUAUGUAUAAAGGUACAAAGGGGAAGAGAGAGAGAGAAAGAGAAUUGAUUUUUGGUCUUUUGAGACCUCUGUAGAUUGUAUGAUAGAUGAUUUCAACUGGGUUAUCUUCUGUUUUCUCUGGUUGCAGUGAUGCAGCUGGAAUUGCUGGUAACUAGCUAACACGCCUAUUUCCUUCCCUCGGCUUCCUUGUUAGGUUCAAUUUCUGGUCUUGUUUUUGCCUUCAAAUAUAAAUGAACCAAAUGAAUGUUUUUAUUGUUUUUUUAUGAAGCUUAUGGAUUUCUAUCUCAAUCUUGUCAAGGUUUUUCGUGAUUUCCCUCCUCCUGUUGGUAAUUUAGUAUUUCUGAUGCCGUUCAAAGAUUAUUAUGUUGGGGUAUGAGAACUUUUUAGUUACAGCUUUUUCAUUAAGAAUUGAAAUGUUUAAACAGGAAAAUUCUUGCCCUUUUCCUCUACAUGUCUGCUAGAAAAUGGAGAAAUAAAUUAGAUACAACAAGACUGUUCUUCUUCUUCUUCUUUUCCCUCCUUUUUUUUUUCUUUUCUGUUUCAAUGACGUACUGAGAAGAGGAAUGUAAUGCUAAAAUCAUACCAUCAGUUACGUCUGAUGUCUCAAGUAUCAUACAAAUUUGCCCAGAAAAUUUACUAAAGUUUCAUCAAAUGAUAAAAUGUUAUUGCCUUUCCUGCUUAUCUGAAUAUAUGGUCUAUUCUAAUCUCUGAUGCUUAAUUUCAGGGAAUAUAUUUGCUUUUGUGCUAUUUUUAUCACCCAUGUAAGUUGUUAUUAUCAUUUAGCUGAUGUAAAGAGCCAGAAUGAAAAUUGCCUAUUUACAAAAGCUAAAUAUUGUCCCUUUUUUUUUCUUUCUUUUCCAGACCAACAUUUAGGAGAAUUAUCAGAAGCCAAUCAACAGAACAGUUCUCAGGAUUGCCUUAUGUAUAUGCCUUCUUGAACUGCUUGAUCUGCCUCUGGUAUGGCAUGCCCAUCGUAUCACCUGGUGUCAUAUUAGUUGCAACAGUCAAUUCAAUUGGGGCAAUUUUUCAAUUGAUCUACAUAAGUAUCUUCAUAUGUUAUGCUGAUAAAGCUAAAAAGCUAAAGAUGUCAGGACUACUGGUUGCAGUUCUUGCAGUAUUUGCAGUGAUAGUCUUUGUGAGCUUGAAUUUUUUUCACUCUCAUGAUCGGCAGACAUUUGUUGGAUAUCUAAGUGUUUUUUCUCUCAUUUCCAUGUUUGCUUCUCCUCUUUGUGUCAUCAAUUUGGUGAUGAAGACAAGGAGUGUUGAGUACAUGCCUUUCUAUCUCUCUCUUGCAACCUUCGCGAUGAGUCUCUCUUUCUUUGCAUAUGGAAUGUUGAAGUUUGAUCCUUUCAUUUAUGUCCCAAAUGGAAUUGGAACAAUUUUGGGGAUAUGUCAAUUGGUUUUGUACUCAUAUUAUAGCAGCGAAUAUGGCGAAGACUCGAGAGAACCCUUGAUAGCCCAAUAUGCCUGAGCACAUCCCUUGGCAAUAAUACAUGGUAAUUUUAUUUUUAUUCUUCCAGAUGCAAGGACUGGGUAUCAAACCCAUGAUCCUUAACUGAGAUGUAUUCUGCAACAAUAAACGUGGUAAUUGCUGUUAGCUGCAAUUCAAGCUAAAAGAUCUGAUAUCAACUUCAGCUGUGUUUAAACGUCUACCUAGCUAAUUCCAUUUAGCAGCCUAGUUCAUAACACAUCUCUAUGAAAAAUGGUAUCUGUAUUUACGCUAGAUUGUUUAUUUUGCAGGAGUUUGAUUCUGAUCUAGUGAUUUCAAGUUGCAACAUUCCGACAGAUAUAUGCUGCUGCAUGAUCAGUAAAGUAGAUUAUUGUUAUUAAAUAAUCAAUGGAUUCUGAUAAUACUCGAUGCACUCUUAUUUGCAAGAGAGGAAGAAAAUAAGAGGAGUGAUAGCAAGACAGCAAAUUUUUCUUGGUUGUUCCAAAUGGGCGGGUUCUAUUGAUGACAACUACUCAUCUAUUACAGCAGUAACCCACUGUACUCUUUGAUAAUGCCAUGGCAAGCGUGUUAUUACACCAUCAUUUCCAAUUUCAUGCUGCUGCAGUACUGCUCACAUUGAUUGUUUUGUUUAUUUGUAAUUAGCAAUCCUAAUAGUCGUUAGUUGUUUUGUACUACAGAUUUGAAGUUUGAGAAUUUAUAAUGUUUGAUCCCAUUGUAUCUGUCUGUCUGUCUGUCUAUUACAUAAAAGUUUCAAGGUCGGAUUAUGUCAUAUUAUUACAUUGACACUUGUAGCUAUAGAUCCAUAUACAAGCACUGGAAUCUCAGGCUUGUU